CCCCACUUCCCCAGCCGCCUCACACUCUCUCCCAUGCCCAGCCGCCUCACCUGCUCCCUUCUCGCCGUCGACCUCUUCCGCGGCCCGCCACGGCGAGAACGGAGCUCGGACUUGUGUUGCUGCUCUCUCUCAGACCCCCAUUCCGACAUGGUGGGGUGCUUCUUAAUUAGAGGGGGGCCCAUGGCGGAGGGGAGGCGAGACGAUGUGAGGAUGCCAUGGCGGCAUCCGUCAGUCUUCACAACACACAAUGCGGACGCGAGAGCCUCAACAGCAGCUACAACCGCCAUUGCCCAACAACAAUCUGCCACAAGGAGUUAAAAAUCAAUUGAGACGCUUAGCACAAUAAUGACAAACUAGUAAUAAAUAAUCAAGAUCGAGAUGUUUACCACAAUGGACUUGUGUCCUCACUGUACGGGAGACGACGCCAGCCUCAACCCAGUCAACUCUCGACGGUCGUAAUUGUAGCUUAUCAAUGCAAGGCGAUGAGGCGUCAAGAGCACUGGGUAAAGAGCUGGUGACACGGCUGGUCAUACAACGAACUGAAAUUCUGAUAGCGGCAAAUGAAGCCAUCACAAUGACGAGUCUGCGAUCCCUACAGAAGG